AUGAAAGGGAGACUUGACUCUUGU
rnacentral:siRNA from 1 species